rnacentral:sRNA from 1 species
GCCGGGUGUGGUGGCUCAUGCCUGUAAUCCCAGCAUUUGGGAGGCUGAGGCGGGUGGAUCACCUGAGGUCAGAAGUUCGAGACUAGCCUGACCAACAUGGAGAAACCCCGUCUCUA